UUGUACCCCUUCUCUUUUAUUAGAAUACAGUAGCCUUUAUUUUGUUCACUGCAAGUUUUCACCUUCAUAAUAUAUACAUAGUGAGAGUUGUGAGUGUGUAUUGGGGCCUGUAUCCAACAUUUGGUAUCAGAGCCUAGGCUCGUUGAGAAGCGGGUUUGAAGAUCGGAGGAAGCCUCCGCCGCCGGCGGGUGUGUCGGUCGGUGGAGGGCAGGCGUAAAAGAAGGGUGCGGGACUGUUAUACAGCAGAAGACGGAAGCGUUAUGGUGUUUUCGGUAGGCCGUUGUUGUGGUAGACGUACCGGUUAAGACGACGGGGGUGACCGGUGAUAAACACUUGUUUUCCGGGGCUGUUAAUAGUAAUGAUUAAAGGCGUUGAAAGGGUUGUUCGGUUGUUAGUUGCGGGUUUGCGCAGUUGCUAUUCAACCGGUGAUAACGGUAGACGGUGAGAACGGUUGCCUUGAUCGGUUGUUCGUGAUAAGAGGAGACCGGCGUAGUGCGUGAAAAGCGGGCAGAAUGGAUCCGUCAAAGCAGGUGGCUUUGGAUUCGUCUCGUUUGGCAAGUUGAGAAAACGGAAGAAGCGGGUGGCUUGUUUUCUUUGUCGGUGGAGAGCCUCUUGAACAAGGGUGAUUGGAAAAAGGUAAAGAAAAAAAUUACACGGUGUUAACAUUAUGGUGUUGGAGUUCAAAUCGGGUGACUCGGAUGUGACCGGGUGGGUCGUUGAUCCGUGAUGAGUCAAGAUGUUAGUGAACACAUUGGAUGUGAUCGAGGUGAAGAUCGGGUGUCCGUUAGAUGUCAUAGUGGUUCGAAACCGAGGUGAUUCGGUGCUGCGGUGAAGGCGUAAACAAACACCGAUUAAGGGGGUGAUUGUUGGAUUAUUCGGGUUUGUUUACGGGUCACGAGUCGGCAUGUAAUCGGGUCACAGUUCAAAUGGCCGGUUAUUCGUUUACGGGUCACACGGGUCUCCGGUCAUAGGUAAAAAGAUUGGAGCUGGAUUCAGAUCGGUUAGAACAAUAUUAAUCACAUGGUUAUUUUGGUUUAUGGAAGACUAGGUUAUCACCCGGGAUUGCUUCCCGGGCUCGAGAAAGUUACUUAUAUAAUUAUUAGUUAUGUUUAAUACAUACUUAAAAUCAUACAAAUAUUAAUGUCUUCGCUAUAAGAAGACUUGCAAACUUUUCAUUAACUUAAUCACACGAUGUGUUUAGAGAGCCAUUAUUACAUAAUAAAAUGAAAAUGUUAAUAAUAUUAGAAUGUA
rnacentral:lncRNA from 1 species